AUAUUGUACUAGGGGAGCCGAUUGAAUUGGCUGAGAGUAGACUAUAAGUCUAGACCCUUUGAACCUGUACGUUCGUACGUGCGUAGGGAGAGUACCUAAAUUCGGUA
rnacentral:ncRNA from 2 species